UAACAGGAUUCCCCUAGUAACUGCGAGUGAAGCGGGAAAAGCUCAAAUUUAAAAUCUGGCGGUCUUCUGGCCGUCCGAGUUGUAGUCUGGAGAAGCGUUUUCCGCGUUGGACCGUGUACAAGUUUCCUGGAACGGAGCGUCAUAGAGGGUGAGAAUCCCGUCUUUGACACGGAUCCCAAUGCUUUGUGAUGCGCUCUCAAAGAGUCGAGUUGUUUGGGAAUGCAGCUCAAAAUGGGUGGUGAAUUCCAUCUAAAGCUAAAUAUUGGCGAGAGACCGAUAGCGAACAAGUACCGUGAGGGAAAGAUGAAAAGCACUUUGGAAAGAGAGUUAAACAGUACGUGAAAUUGUUGAAAGGGAAACGCUUGAAGUCAGUCGCGUCGGCCGGGACUCAGCCUUGCAUCCGCUUGGUGUACUUUCCGGUCGACGGGCCAGCAUCAGUUUUGACCGCGAGAUAAAGGCGGAGGGAAUGUGGCUCUCUCGGGAGUGUUAUAGCCCUUCGUCAGAUGUCGCGGUUGGGACUGAGGAACUCAGCACGCCUUUAUGGCCGGGGCUCGCCCACGUACGUGCUUAGGAUGCUGG
rnacentral:rRNA from 1 species